rnacentral:rRNA from 1 species
CCGCCGGCGACCGGCGCACGGGUGAGUAACACGUAUGCAACCUGGCCGUGACAGAUGGAUAACCGGGANAAAUCCCGCCUAAUACAACAUAAUGCCGGGAGGGGACAUCCCCUGCCGGCCAAAGGGGGCGACCCCGGUCACGGAUGGGCAUGCGGCGCAUUAGGUAGUUGGUGGGGCAACGGCCCACCAAGCCGACGAUGCGUAGGGGUUCUGAGAGGAAGGUCCCCCACAUUGGAACUGAGACACGGUCCAAACUCCUACGGGAGGCAGCAG